rnacentral:rRNA from 1 species
UACAGAGGUCUCGAGCGUUGUUCGGAUUCAUUGGGCGUAAAGGGCGCGUAGGCGGCGGGGUAAGUCUGGUGUGGAAAUCUCGGAGCUCAACUCCGAAACUGCACUGGAUACUGCUCUGCUAGAGGGCUGGAGAGGAGAUCGGAAUUCACGGUGUAGCAGUGAAAUGCGUAGAUAUCGUGAGGAAGACCAGUGGCGAAGGCGGAUCUCUGGACAGCUCCUGGACGCUGAGGCGCGAAGGCUAGGGGAGCAAACGGG